GUUGCUCCAGCACCUGGCCUCCUGCUUCUCCACCAGGUCUUCCUACUGCACUGCUGAUGUCUCCAGAGGCAUUUGAGCUGCAAGGAUGAGAGAUUAGGUGUGCAUCCUGGGCUGAAGCUUCUGAGUGGAACAGGAGAAGCAUAUUGGCCUCAGCUGGACUCAUGUGGGCCAAGCCAAAACUCCUUCGUGAUCCUCAGCGCACACGGCAGUGAUAGCAGCCAAGAUGCCAGCUCUUUUCCUCUGGUUUUCAGACAUGAAGACCUCUGCUCAUUAUGACGUGAGUGUGGGAGACCCUGAGACACUGUCCUGGGAACUGAGCAGGUGGUAAUGUCUUACUAGGCUGGAAAUCACUGUGGUGACAAGGUGACGGAGUAGUCACCAUGGUGAUGGAGAUGGAGGCCUUUGGCCAUAAGUCCCAGUUUUCUGCAUGGCAGCUCUAAUGACAGAAUGGUCACUAUGGCAACCACGGCCCUCUCAGGAGCACAGAGGCCCUGCAGGAGAGUCCCUUACUCCACACCUGGCUAGAGCAGGAAGUACUGAGUGCUACCGAGCCCAGGGAAGCUGGUUGGAGUGUGAGGGACACAGUCACUUGUGGCCUCAUUACUCAAAAGCCGUCCCCAAGCCACUGGAGGAUACAGACCUUUUCUGCUGAGUCUGUCUAGUGGACAGCAAGCCCUCACAGCUCAGCAUAGCCAGAGAGAAAGCCGACUAGCACUGAGGACGCUGCCUCAGAGACGCCAUGGCCCUGCCUAGAGAACACCCGGCCUGAUGAGGCCUUAGCAAGGAAUAGUCCAGAAGAGAACAAUGAAAAGGAGGAAAUUGUAAUUGAACUUCAAACCCCAAAGCAACCUGAGGUAGACCAUAUUCUCCCAGAGGCCCAGGGCUGGCUGUGCUCAGUGCUGGGGAGAAGCCUGGGAUAUCUCUGCUUUGGAAGCCUGGUAGGAAAGGCUGGGGCCCAGCUCCCCCGAGCUGGCUGCUGUGCAGAUGCUGGAUGACAGAGCCAGGAUGGAGGCUACCAAGAAGGAGAAGGUAAUUCUGCCUUAUGAAGAGUU
rnacentral:lncRNA from 1 species